CGCGCGCGAGGAGAAGUGCAGGGGACCCAGCCGGAGUUGUAACCCCCUCCCCCGCCCCGGGCAGCCCCCUGCAGGUUGCAGCGAUAAUAACUCCUCCUGUAGAAGUUCUGUGACCUAGGAAAACGGAAUCCUGGAGGGUGGGGCUGGGAAGGGCGCUGCCCCCGGGGUCUGCAAUAGAUGCUCUUUCCCCGGAGGCUGCUUGGCAGCUGCCUCCUCCUCUUCUGGCCCCAAGAGUCAACUGGCUUCAGGGUGGGCCAGGAAGGAGACCCAGAAGUCCGAAGUCUCAAAUACCUGGGUGUAAACCACGUUUACUGGAGCUGAGAAUUUGAAUCCCCUAGUCUGAGGGGCAGUUUGGAGAAAUCAUAACUAGACAGACAACCUGCCAAGUGGAAGCCCUGGGUGGACUGUCUGAUCCUAGACCACCCGGGACUGCGGGCGAGACCCCUCACACAGCCGCUUAGCUGGACGGCAGGUGAAAUGCUGGCAUCUUGACACUGAGCCCGUGAGUAAGCGGACGCUGUGUCCCGUUGACUGUAAUUCAGGACGGGCAUGUGCGCUGUAUCCCAGCGCCAAAGUGCCGGAGGACGGCGGUUCUGCAGCGGUGAACGCAGCCUGCUGCCCGGUGAGUUCCUCAGGGUGACUGUGCGCUGCCCGGCAUUUCAGGGCAGCCAGAGGGGCACGUGGGGUGGUUUCUUGCCUUUUUCCAGGGAUACGUCAUUUAAAGCCUACCUCGUCCAGGUAACUCCCCUCGAGUGGGCUUUUCCCCAGUCCACGUGUAUAUUUUCACUGUUAACCAAAGGUCGCACAUUUCGUUGGCUGGCAUUCCUGAGUGUGUGGGUGGAGGUGCGGUAGCAAGGAGGGAGUGCUGCCUGCAGUCAAACAGACCGAGCAAGAACCAUCGCCCUGUUUCAGCGAACACGCCGCGCGGCUGUUAAUUGCGCUGGGGUAGUGCGCACGCGCACGCAUGUAACCUGAUUUCGCCCUCAACGUUUCUCUCCCCCAUAGCAUCGUAGAAUUCUGGAAU